UUUUUUUUUUUUUUUUCCCUGUCUUUCUUUCUCUUGUGGCCGCCUUGUAGCAUAGGGAGUUCCCGGGCCAGGGAGCCAAGGCUGUGACCUAAGCCACAGCUGUGGCAACACCAGGUCCUUAACCCACUGUGCUGGGCUGGGAUUGAACCUGCAUCCCAAUGCUCCCAAGACGCCGUCAAUCCCCCCGUGCCACAGCGGGAACUCCCAUCGUGGAUUCUUUAGCUAAAGUGGCUGGCUUUUCACCAGCCUUUGUUUUUAGCUCAACGAACCUGACAGGUUGCGGGCUUGGAAUUCGCGUUACCCACACAGACAAGUAAAGGAACAUAUGGUCCUGGGGGAGGGUGAGCAGUUUUAGGUUCUGAUCAGCCAAUAUAUUCUAGUCUGAUUCUGGAAUCAGAGGAACUGGAGAGCCAAACCUGUGAGAGUUAAUUCACUGUGUUUCUGCCUUGAGUUCCUUCAUGUCGGGGACCUGAGAAGAUGGUGACCAGGAAGGAAGGAGGAACAAAUCCUUGAGAUACUGUCAACACUUUAAAAGGGUUACUAGGAAGGGGUGUUUACAACGGAUGGGGCUCCCCCGGGGAAUCAAGUGACAGACUUCUUGAAUUUUUGGCUGGAACAUAAUGGCAUUGAUUAUCUCAUGGAAAAAAAUCUACUAAUGAAGACUUAGGAGUUCCCGUUGUGGCGCAGUAGAAAUGAACCCGACUAAGAACCAAGAGGUUGCAGGUUUGAUCUCUGGCCACGCUCAGUGGGUUAAGGAUCUGGUGUUGCCGUGAGCUGUGGUGGACCUCAUGGUUCCUAGUCGGAUUCGUUAACCACUGCGCCACGACGGGAACUCCGCAAGUGUCUUUUUCUCCCUGGAGGACUGGAUGGCGCAAUGAAAGGCAAGCAUGUGAGUGAGGGGACAGAGGCGACAUAGAGAAGACGAGGUCCAGCCCUUCUUCAGAGGAAGGAGGACUUAUCUUCAGUUUUCUGUUCUCCUGGUUAGGAAAAAAAUUACUUCUCUCACUCAUUUUGUCCUUUUCCUUCCCCGUGGUUUUGUUUCAACCUCAAGGGACAGAUUUCCUUUCUCUGCCUUCAUCUUGGCGCUGGAUUCACCCUCUCGUCGUGAUUACCGCUCCACCAACAGAACCUGUUGGAAAUUUAGUCCUGCUUUUUCGGCUCUGGGGAGGGUCAGCAUUUCCUUUUCCCUCUUUCUUUGUUUUCAUAGGACGUGAUCUCCCCAACAGCCUGGUAAGUGUUAAAAGAAAAUCAAAGAUAUUCAAACUUUGGGCAUGCCAGGGUCCUGACCCAUUCUGCUCUGUAGCACAGUGUCCCCCCCCCAGCCCCCCAUACCCGACAUUCCCCUUCCUUUACACCAAAUUACCCUUCGCAAGUAACCAACACUGCCAAACACAGAGUGUGAUUGGAGCAAUCUGGCCUUGAUCCUUUCGAUCUUUGACUUAAAAUGAAGCCCAAAGCCCAGAGUAGCAAAUAAAGAAGGCUCUACCUGCUGUAAGAAUGUCUCAGACUAAGUCAAAUAAGUCAGAAGGAAAGACAAGUACCAUAUGAUACCACUUGUACGUGGAAUCUAAUAUACGGCACAGAUGAACCUGUC
rnacentral:lncRNA from 1 species